GGUCUUCCCACGGUUACCUCUUCAGCGUAAAGCGAGGAUGGAGGCAGUGGGUCGACCGAAGGAAAGAAACGGAGGACCCGGCGUAGGCAAAGCUGGGUUAGACGAUAAGGUGGGAGAAUGGGGGAAACCUCGAAUCCGCAUCAAGUCGUUUUUCCCAUCGUA
rnacentral:rRNA from 2 species